rfam:Pelecanus crispus contig59009, whole genome shotgun sequence.
UUACAGGUUUUUUUUAAAACCAUCCUAAUUAAACUUGCAUUCUAUU